rnacentral:rRNA from 1 species
UACGUAGGUGGCGAGCGUUGUCCGGAUUUACUGGGCGUAAAGAGCGCGCAGGCGGUCGUGCAAGUCGCGUGUGAAGGCCCCCGGCUCAACUGGGGAGGGUCACGCGAUACUGCUCGACUCGAAGGCAGGAGAGGGAAGUGGAAUUCCCGGUGUAGUGGUGAAAUGCGUAGAUAUCGGGAGGAACACCAGUGGCGAAGGCGACUUCCUGGCCUGUUCUUGACGCUGAGGCGCGAAAGCUAGGGUAGCAAACGGG